rnacentral:rRNA from 1 species
CCUACGGGAGGCAGCAGUGGGGAAUAUUGCACAAUGGGGGAAACCCUGAAGCAGCAACGCCGCGUGAGUGAAGAAGUAUUUCGGAUUGUAAACCUCUAUCAGUAGUGAAGAAAAUGACGGUACCUGACUAGGAAGCCCCGGCUAACUCCGUGCCAGCAGCCGCGGUAAUACGUAGGGGGCAAGCGUUAUCCGGAUUUACUGGGUGUAAAGGGUGCGUAGGCGGGUUGACAAGUCAGAAGUGAAAGCCCUGGGCUUAACCCUGGAACUGCUGUUGAAACUGCUGGGCUUGAGUGUAGUAGAGGUAGGCGGAAUUCCUGGUGUAGCGGUGAAAUGCGUAGAGAUUAGGAGGAACACCAGUGGCGAAGGCGGCUUGCUGGACUGUAACUGACGCUGAGGCACGAAAGCGUGGGGAGCAAACAGGAUUAGAUACCCGAGUAGUC